rnacentral:rRNA from 1 species
GAUGAACGCUGGCGGCGUGCCUAAUACAUGCAAGUCGAGCGAACAGACGAUGAGCUUGCGCCCCUGCCGUUAGCGGCGGACGGGCGAGUAACACGUGGAUAACCUACCUCUUAUACUUGGAUAACUACGUGAAACCGGUGCUACUACCGCCUAACAUGUUCAACCGGAUGGUUCAACAGAUCUAGACGGUCUUCCCGUUACUAUUAGAUGGAUCCGCGUCGGAUUAGCUAGUUGGUAAGGUAACAGCUUACCAAGGCGACGAUGCGUAGCCGACCUGAGAGGGUGAUCAGCCACACUGGAACUGAGACACGGUCCAGACUCCUACGGGAGGCAGCAGUAGGGAAUAUUCGACAAUGGGCGAAAGCCUGAUGGAGCCAUGCCGCGUGAGUGAAGAAGGUCUUCGGGUUGUAAAACUCUUUUGUUAGGGAAGAAAAGCUGCAGGAGAAUCUCUGGCUGUUCUGACGGUACCUAAUCAAAAAGCAACGGCUAACUUCGUG